rnacentral:rRNA from 1 species
CGGCCGCGGUACUCUGACCGUGCAAAGGUAGCAUAAUCAUUUGCCUCUUAAUUAGAGGCUGGAAUGAACGGUUUAACAUGAGCAAGACUGUCUCUAUGCAAUUUUAUAAAAUUUAAUUUUUAGGUGAAGAAGCCUAUAUAUAAUUAAAAGACAAGAAGACCCUAUCGAGCUUUAAAAAAUUUAAAUGAAAUCUUUUAUAUUUAUAGAAAAAUUGCCUUUAAAAAUUUUAGUUGGGGCGACUAAGGAACAACAAAAACUUCUUUCUACUAACUAAGUUUACACACUUUGAUCCAGAAUUUUUGAUUAAAGAAAUUAGUUACCGUAGGGAUAACAGCAUAAUCUUUUUUGAGAGCUCUUAUCGAAAAAAAGGUUUGUGACCUCGAUGUUGGACCAGAAUAUCCUAAAGAUGCAACCGUCUUUAAGGGUUGGUCUGUUCGACCAUUAAAAUUCUACGU